ensembl:lncRNA
UUUUUUCAGUGUCAGGAAGUUCUGCUCGGGCCAAGCAUCGGAUUAGCAGUGAUACCAUCUCUAGUUCUCCCCUGCAUCUGAGGUAUCCUGUUUCUGUCCCUCCAGAAUCCAGGACUCUCAUCCCUGCCUGCAUCUAAGCACAGCUCCAGUUUUCAUUUUGACCUUGGAUGUCCAUCUCCUGGCUUCCCCUGCAGACCCUUCAGCCUUCCAUUGCAGACCCUUUGGCCUCCUGAUAUGGGGCCUGCAAAGGACUAGAGUGGGCUCCAGGCUGUCACCUUUCUUCUGGAUCCAUUGUGGGCACCCCAUGGUGGAAAAGGAUAUCUUUAGAGGCAAAAUAUGAUUGUAGUUUCAAUUAUACUUAUUUUCUUCAUCACUGAAUCAAAUUAGAAGAGAGACUAUUGACUUUCAACAGUAUUCUGUCAUUAAUGAGUAAAACCAUCAAUCCGCCAACUCUCUUUCUACACAAAUGAGACUAGGAGUAUGUUUCCAACAGCUACAAAGACGUCUGGAAAGAAUGUUAUUCUGGAGUAGCCCAUUCUUGUCUGUUCAGCGUGCAAAAGAGGAAGUACAAGCUCCUUCCACCAGGGAGAAGAGCAGAAGGAAGUUCACCUGCCAGCACAUGCACACCCAGGAGUGGAAGAGGCCAAAAUCCAAACGGUGCUGAAGAAUUGUUCUGAAAGGC